UACGUAGGGUGCAAGCGUUGUCCGGAAUUAUUGGGCGUAAAGAGCUCGUAGGCGGCUUGUCACGUCGACUGUGAAAACCCGGGGCUCAACUCCGGGCCUGCAGUCGAUACGGGCUGGCUUGAGUGCGGUAGGGGAGACUGGAAUUCCUGGUGUAGCGGUGAAAUGCGCAGAUAUCAGGAGGAACACCGGUGGCGAAGGCGGUUCUCUGGGCCGAUACCUGACGCUGAGGAGCGAAAGUGCGGGUAGGGCGAACAGGAUUAGAACGUCCGAGUCAGACCAAGAUCCAGUC
rnacentral:rRNA from 1 species